rnacentral:ncRNA from 1 species
CUCUUAUUCAGAAUGGUGGAGUCAUAAGGGACUGUGAAGCCAUGGCAACCCCGAUGUAAGAUAUCGGAAGGUGCCGACCUGAGCGACGCGGACGCCGGCAAAGCAUAUUUAUAUAUGACUUGCUGAGUGACCUGUGAUCGAACAAUGAGAG